GACGAACGCUGGCGGCGUGCUUAACACAUGCAAGUCGAGCGGUAAGGCCCUUUCGGGGUACGACGAGCGGCGAACGGGUGAGUAACACGUGGGUGACCUGCCCUCAGCUCUGGGAUAAGCCUGGGAAACCGGGUCUAAUACUGGAUAUGACUCCAUGACGCAUGUUGUGGGGUGGAAAGCCUUGUGCGGCUGAGGAUGGGCCCGCGGCCUAUCAGCUUGUUGGUGGGGUGANGGCCUACCAAGGCGACGACGGGUAGCCGGCCUGAGAGGGCGACCGGCCACACUGGGACUGAGACACGGCCCAGACUCCUACGGGAGGCAGCAGUGGGGGAAUCUUGCGCAAAUGGGCGAAAGCCUGACGCAGCGACGCCGCGUGAGGGAUGACGGCCUU
rnacentral:rRNA from 1 species